CAAGAAGUCAGGUUGACUAGCAAGGAGUCUGCUUCUGCAACUUGGAGAAGAGAUUUAGAAUUAUGUAUCUUUUGUUACAAAUAUACAGAUAUACAAAUAUACAGAUAUACAAAUAAGUUAUUUUUGUUGUUGCUGGAAGGGUGAAGACGGAGGGAAUCUGAUAAAGACAUCUUAUAAAUUCAACAGACACAAAAGAAUUUGAUCUCCCAUAAACAACUGUGAAAUUACGAUAACAGAUCCUGGGAAGUUCUACAAUUCUAAUUCAGUUUUUUCAAGGGGGAACAUGGCAAAGAUGUUCAGUUUCAUCCUUGUUACCAC
rnacentral:sRNA from 1 species